GAGGCUAUAGCUCAGCUUGGUAGAGCGCUGCUCUGAUAAGGCAGAGGUCCACAGUUCAAAUCUGUGUAGCCUCA
rnacentral:tRNA from 3 species